GUAAGAGCAUCCAAGGACUCCUCAGCUAUAAUAGUCAGCAGGUAGAAAUUUUUGCAGAGCACUAAAUAGCUCGCCAUUUUAGAUUUGUGAACAUAACUAGCUGUAUAGCGAGUGCUGUAGCUCUCUCCAAUUUACAGCGCUAGACGAGAGGGAAUGGCGGGUAAGAGCAUCCACGCUCAUGCUACCCAAACUUAAUCCUUAGCUGUAAUAGCUGGUAUGAGUGAAAAAGAAUAGCAUUGUUACUCUCUAUUUGGCUACCUAUUCUUACACUAUGAACAGUACUCGCUAUAUGUAGCGAGUAUUGUAGCACUCUUCGGUUGGUAGCGAGAAAGAAGGUGAUCGCGGGAAAGGAAAGAGUGGAGGAUGGGGCUGUGCUUCUAGUUUCUGUUUCGGUUGCUGCGCAGUCUAUGGUGGCGGCUGAAAUGUUAUGGUGUUGUGUGGGAUGAGUUGGAGCUAUUCGGGCUGGGUGAUUUGCAUAUCUUGAAGCUGAACCACACAUUCUAGAUUUAAAGAGAGAGAGAGAGAGAGAAAGCGAUUAGCAGCAGCAAUGGAGGUGGAAUUGAAAGAGAUGCUUAACGAUCUUGAUUAUUUGAAGAAAUCACUGUCAAAUCCUUCAAACCUUGCUUCUUCAAUUCAUAAGUAACUGCCUUCACAAAAUGCUCAACGCUUUUUACUGAGGUGCUCUCGGUGAUCUACAAAUAUUCGUUCAUAAAAUCUGCAGAGGCUUCACGCUCAAGGAUUCUCAUUGAUGCAUGCUACUAUCUUCUGAAAGGAUGAUAGUCUGAGAAAUUCACAAGCAUAUCCCUUCUUUGAGCAAAGUAUGGAUCGUAUGCUUUUACCGCAUAUUUAAUAAUAAUAAUAAAAAAUUUAAGUGGGAAAAUAUAUAUAUAUAUAUUAUAUCUCUCACUAGCUUGUUGCUCGUUGCUGUAAACAAUUCUAAAUCAAGAAAAAACUUUCCAAGUAAGAAAUUCUUAAAAGCCAUGAAGAUUGGAUGAACAAAAAAUAUAGUUGGGAUGGACAAAGUGAGAGAAAUGAUGAAUGAAAAUAAAAGUUUAAGUGGGUUUUUUUUUAUAAGUAAAAA